UACGUAGGGUGCAAGCGUUAUCCGGAAUUAUUGGGCGUAAAGAGCUCGUAGGCGGUUUGUCGCGUCUGCUGUGAAAACUGGAGGCUUAACCUCCAGCCUGCAGUGGGUACGGGCAGACUAGAGUGCGGUAGGGGAGAUUGGAAUUCCUGGUGUAGCGGUGGAAUGCGCAGAUAUCAGGAGGAACACCGAUGGCGAAGGCAGAUCUCUGGGCCGUAACUGACGCUGAGGAGCGAAAGCAUGGGGAGCGAACAGG
rnacentral:rRNA from 1 species